AAGCAUCUCAUAAGCGGAGGAAAAGAAACCAACAGGGAUUGCCUCAGUAACGGCGAGUGAAGCGGCAACAGCUCAAAUCUGAAAGCUGGCUCCUUCGGGGCCCGCGUUGUAAUUUGUAGAGGAUGCUUCGGGCGCGGCGCCGGUCUAAGUUCUUUGGAACAAGACGUCAUGGAGGGUGAGAAUCCCGUAUGUGACUGGUGGCCUGUGCCCAUGUGAAGCUCCUUCGACGAGUCGAGUUGUUUGGGAAUGCAGCUCAAAAUGGGAGGUGUAUUUCUUCUAAAGCUAAAUAUUGGCCAGAGACCGAUAGCGCACAAGUAGAGUGAUCGAAAGAUGAAAAGCACUUUGGAAAGAGAGUUAAACAGUACGUGAAAUUGUUGAAAGGGAAGCGCUUGCAAUCAGACUUGCGCGGCGUCGAUCAGCCCGGGUUCUCCCGGGUGCACUCGGCGCCGCUCAGGCCAGCAUCAGUUUCGGCGGUGGGAUAAAGGUCCAGGGAACGUGGGUCGCCUCGGCGACCGUUAUAGCCCUGGGCGCAAUGCCGCCUGCCGGGACUGAGGACCGCGCUUCGGCUAGGAUGCUGGCGUAAUGGUUGUAAGCGACCCGUCUUGAAACACGGACCAAGGAGUCUAACAUUUGUGCGAGUGUUUGGGUGUCAAACCCAUACGCGUAAUGAAAGUGAACGGAGGUGAGAACCCUUAAGGGUGCAUCAUCGACCGAUCCUGAUGUCUUCGGAUGGAUUUGAGUAAGAGCAUAACUGUUGGGACCCGAAAGAUGGCGAACUAUACUUGAAUAGGGGAAGCCAGGGGAACCC
rnacentral:rRNA from 1 species